rnacentral:tRNA from 1 species
GGAUAUAGCUGAGUGGUAGAGCAUGUGCUUGGCAUAAGCAAAGUCCUGGGUUCAAUCCCCAGUACCA